rnacentral:rRNA from 1 species
UACGUAGGGUGCGAGCGUUAAUCGGAAUUUCUGGGCGUAAAGCGUGCGCAGGCGGUUCGUUGUGUCGGUGGUGAAAUCCCCGGGCUUAACCUGGGAAUGGCCAUGGAAACUGGCGAACUGGAGUGCGGCAGAGGGGGGUGGAAUUCCGCGUGUAGCAGUGAAAUGCGUAGAGAUGCGGAGGAACACCGAUGGCGAAGGCAGCCCCCUGGGCUAGCACUGACGCUCAGGCACGAAAGCGUGGGGAGCAAACAGG